rnacentral:lncRNA from 1 species
GAAAUUUAAAGGGCGCGGCUUUUAAAAAUUUGAAGUUGUUACAAAUUUUCCUGCCGAAUUUUAUGUUUUCUGCGCUGUUUUUUGGUGAAUCAGAACCGUUUAAUCGCUUCAGUUUACUUGGGGAGUUAAUCCUAAACGACAAAUGUGAAAUUUGUAACGAAACGAUGUAAUUUGAUAUCGAAAUUUUAUGUCAUACCAGUAUGAAAGCCUCGUGUCGAAGGUCCCAUAUUGAAACGGCGUUUUCACGUGUGGUAACUUGUAAGCCCUUUUAAAGUUGUAAAGUGGUUCCUAUCUGUGCUUAUAAGGUAAACAUUUAUAACCAAUUUUAAAACAAUUUUUUUAUUUGCCUAUGUGAACUCUGAAAGCUAAUGCUUAUAUAUUGCAAUGUGUAAUUCCCAUGUCUCUGAAUCUCUCUCCUCCGCAGAGGCUUUAGGGGCCGAUUACAUGGAGGUUUUCAGCCCGGGAUGAAAUUUCAGCCUGGGGCCCCUAUAAAUUCAAUAUAAAACGAAUUUUACGAUUACAUGGAAAAAAUUUCAACCCGGGCUGAAUUUCAGCCCGGGUUGAAAUUUUCAUCCCGGUUUAUGUCACCCGGGAUGAGAUUUUCAGCCCUGUCAACCGGGAUGAAAUAUUUCAUGUAAUCGCAAAUAAUUUCAGCCCAGGCUAAAAAAACGAUCGUUUAAAUUGCUUUAUUUUGCGUUUCGUCUCAUCUUUCAUACUUUAUAUACAAAUCAAAUAGUCGACUAAUCAGCGUUUUAAAUGCUCAAACAAGUGGAAUAUUGCCUUUCAUGAUAUUGUAUGAUUUCAGCCCAGGAUGACAUUUCAGCCCGGGUUUGUUUACUACAAGGGAUAAAUAUAGCUCUGACUAAAACUCAGCCCGGGUUCAAAUUGCCCAUUUAAUCGUGAUGCUAUAUCAGCCUGGUUAACCGGGCUGAAAUUCAGCUCAGGCUGAAAACUCUCCAUGUAAUCCCCAUAGUUGGCUAUGAUUAUGAUUAUAUAUUGAGAUACAUUUCACUGCACUUUACAUGGCAGAUCUAAUGGAACACGAGUGGAGACGAUGGGUGAAGGAGCGCAGGUGGGAAAGGGCUGCCAACUAAAGCCUCUAUGGAGGAGAGAGCCCAUGUGGUAUGUCUUGAAUGGAUGCCCCUCGAUCAAUAUUGGGGGGGGGGGCUCAAGAAUAAAUCUGAAUUGCUCUCGCACUUUUCAAGUUCUUUAAUGUGUUUUUCUUAUACAAAUGGAGAUUAUUGGGGGGAGCUCAACAGUGGCAGAAAUCUCAGGGGGAGGGGCAGCUGCCCCCCACCUUUGUGGAAAAUGACGAAUUUUUGGAAAUUUUGACCUAAAAGUGGCUAAAAACAACCUUUUCGAGUGCAAAUGGGGGGUGUUGUUGGAAAUUUGAACGUUUUGUUGGAAAUUUAGAAGGCUUCACCCCCCCCCCCACUGGAAAAGUGGAUUUCUACCAGCUACCCCCACUUCUGAUGGCCUUGGUUGAAGCUUAUAAAUAUGCAGUCCAGUCCAUUCAGACAUGUCAGUUGCUCACAACUUUGUAUCAUAUGAGCUGCAUAAGACUCCAAUGGCAAUGCAUGUACACGGCAUGUAGUAAAACACUGACUACCGGAACACCGGAACACCAGAACACCACUAUUUUGUUUGCGGUUAGGGUUUGUGGUUAGAGUUAGGGUUGGGGGUUAGGGUUGGGGUUAGGGUUAGGGUUAGGUGGUGUUCUGGUGGUGUUCCGGUGGUGUUCCGGCGGUGUUCCGGCGGUGAUGCUUUCCAGGAGGACAGUUGGAAGUUUAUAGCCCAAUUUUUUGUAGGGGAUUGUAAUGAAAUAACUUGAAUUUAGCAUAUUUUUUUAUAAAUCUGCGAAACUUUCUUAAUUUUUUCACCAUUUGUUGAAUUCCAUGGUUUUCUAAAGUGUUUAGGAAACAAGUGCCCCCCUCCACCACCACCCCCAACCAAUUAAACAUACUGAAUAAAGGUCCCAACCACUGCAAUUAAUAUUUAAUUUUUUUUUUAAAUAUACUGCUAACUAUGGCACAACUCAAACUAAACCUCAAACCCUGCCUCUCAAAAGCCCUACUAAGUCACAGGAAAAAAAUUUAAAUUUCCUUUACUGUCGAUGCAAUGGAAGUCUUGAUAAAAUAUUGCACCAAUUCCUUUCUUCGAGUUGAUCAAUACAUCUGAUAGAAAAUUGAUCAACCUCCUGUUACUUUUGGAUGGGCCAAUUAGAUUUCGUUUCAGAACCGAUUGACCAAUAGGAAACGCACAGGAAGUAAAAAGAAAUUUGUAUUUGUAAGAAUUGAUCAACUUGAGGAAAUGAAUUCAAUUGCAAUAUUUUAUCAACACUUCCAUUGCAUGGACAGUAAUAGAUUUUUGAAUGGUUUGCAGAUAUUUACCAUGUAUACUUUUAUUAUAGAUUUCCCAUAUGGUAAAUUAGUAAAAAGCAUGAUGUUUAUUAGUGUGUUCAUAUUAAUGAUAUUUCCUCAUUAUUUCCCUAUGCACAGGAAAAAAUAAACUGCCAUUAAUGGUAAAUAUUAAACAUCAUGAUUUUUACCAAUUUACCAUACAGGAAAUCUGUAAUAACCAAUUGUGGUAAGAAUUCAGUUUUUACAUUCAAAAAUCCAUUAAUGGAAAGUUCAAUUUUUUCCCUGUGUUUAAGUGAUUACAACCUAAGUUGUAUAAAUCACAAAGUGAAGUCACUUCUCAUUUCUUGUCCUUUUUACUUUUCAACAGUUUCUCUGCUGGGUUGGCAUCGUCAUGCCACCACGGACUGUGUGGUUCUACUGAGAAUGGAUUCUCAUCCCCAGACCCAUACUCGUAAUCAUAGCUAUUGUCAUGUGACCUUCCUCGGACAUUGACAGUGUAAUAUAUAGCGACGUAUAUUAUUGUCAUUAGUAACGCUCCGCCCAGGGUGACUGUGAUUAAGAUAAUAUAUACCCCUGGGACACGUACGGCAGUUUCUUCUCCAACUGUUGCGGAGUAGCCACGUUUCCGGGUCUGUUUUUGUUUUGACGUGUGCCCCUUGUGAGAGUUUGUCGUGUUGACUUCUGUUUCUGAUCUAAGAAACAGAGUAAUGGCAUGGUAAUCUUAAUUGUUAAGCCAUUAAUUAUGUAGCAAUGCAUCUUAAUGGGCUUAAUUUAAGAAUAUUUAAAUGCAAGAAAGAAAUAAUAAAAAAAUGAAUGGAUGGUGUUAAGCAUUUCCAAAACCGCAAAUGCUUCCUCUCGCCCGGAAAAAACGUGCCUUGUUUUCACGUCAAAACAUUCAGGAAUGCUCCCACAUUCCAGGGCCGAGACAAUUCAAGGUCCAAGUCAUUUCCUGCAAGUCCAAGUCAAGUCACGAGUCAUUCACUUCGAGUAGCAAGUCUAAGUCAAGUCACCCAUGUCCAAUCAUAAAGAGACACGAAGUGACGAAAAAUGAUCAAAUACACGAAGUUACGGAACUUGCAGAUAAUCGCUCAAACGUCUCAAUGAAUGAACUGAUUGGUUUGUGUGCGCAAAUAGAUUGGUAGAAUACCCUUGCCACCACUGCAAUAUACUGUACAUUCCAGUUACUUCAUAGCCAUACUGCGAUGUGCCAUCUGGCUACACUAGACACUGUGCAUUGAUGAAUUUCCACUGAGUUCAUGCAAGUUGGAGAAAAGUUAAUUUUCAAUAGAUAUUUCAUACAAGUCAUUUUCUUGCAAGUCCAAGUCACAAGUCGUUAGUAUUAUUAACAAAGUCAAGUAAACAAAAUUGCGGCUCAGGUCCAAGUUACAUGUAUGAAGGAAGGAAGAAAAGAUGAUUAGAUGAAAUAAAGGAAGAGUAAGCGACAACUAGUACUAUAAGGAUGGUAGUAAGCUAAAAGACUGUAAGGAAAUAUUAAGAAACGAAAGAUGGUAGAAAAAAGGAAAAUACGAGGGACAGAAGAAAGGAAGCGAGACAAGGACGACUGAGAGAAAGGAAAGAGACAAGGAUUCUAGAGAAGAAGAGCUGAAAGCAAAACGAAAAAGUGAUGCGGAAAUGUAGGAGGAGGAAAGGAAGAUAGUUGAAAAUUGGCGUUGAGAAACCGAGCUGAAAGAUAUGGAGGGAAGAUGGAACCGAGGAACAAAAAUGGAAGGAAGACAACAUGGGGCUUUGGCGGCACAGUGGUCAGAACAAGCGCCUUUCACCUCUGAGAUCGUGGGUUCUAUUCUCGCUUGGGACUCAAAUGAAAAGAGUCGGUCAAUGCUCUGCCGAAAGUCGUGGGUUUUCUCCGGGGUGUUCCGGUUUCCUCCCACAGAGAAAGUUGACAGGGGUGGGUUUAGGAUAAACACAGAUAAGAAAGUAAUAUAUCACAAUUGUUGUAAAGAUAAAAUAGUCUAGGCUAAGUAUGUAAUUAGUACAAUCAAAAUAGAAAAUAGGUCAGAAAAAAUUAGUAAAAAGCCAAAAAUUGGCGUAUGCACUCUCUUCAGCAACCUUGAUAACAUACUAAAAGUCCUCAUGUACGUAUCCUCUUGGAGCUUUCUCUAUUAUGACAAGUUUUUUGUUCGAUUUCCCUAUUGAACUCCUAUAUUGUUAAAAAAGUGAAAUUUCAGAUUUAUUUAGAUAUAGGAAAAAUAAGUUACAUCAUUAGAAAACUUACAAAAAAACUACAUAUAAGACAUUUAAACGGCUACCUUGAUUUUGCAAGUUAUUCUUGAGUUAUGAGCUGUUGGAAACGUGUUCUCAGACUAGUAUCCAGGAUUUUUGCCUAUUUUUCACAAUUGGAACAUCAAUAACUCGAAAACCGCUUGAAAAAUUUAGGUGACUGUUUAAAUGUCUUAUAUGUAGUUUUUAUGAGCUUUUUAGUGAUGCGAGUCAUUUUUGUUAUGAGUGAACUUGAAAUUUCACGUUUUUUAACAAUAUGGGAGUAAUACGGAAAUCGAAAAAAACCUUGUCAUAAUGGAAAAAGCUCCAAGAGGAUACAUGGGGACUUUUAGUAUAUUGUUCAGGAUAGUUAAAUGAUUGCAUCUAACAAUUUUUAGCUUUUUACUAUUUUUUUCCAACCUUGGCCUUAAAAUGAGCUAAAAUUACUGAACUAAAUUAGGUAAGUGUAUUAGCGCUAUAGAAAUGCUAAUCGAAAAUGGCAUGUUAAGUAAUAGUGGUUUAAUCGAAAAAACUCAUUGUUUUUCCGUAAUUUAUUUGUUUCUAAAUGUAGCACGUCAUGUUUCUGUCUUCCGUUCCAGUUGAUUAUGGCAUCUUCGAAUUCCUAUUUCUCCUUAUAAAGAUCUGAGCACGUUUGUAAAUAAAGUUGUUUGACAAUGACCCUGAAAUAGAGUCGAAAUAUGACCACCAUAAUUUGUGUCUUGUUUUCUUUGAAUAACUCAUAUCUUGAGUUUCAAGAUGCCAUUAUUAUUCGUAGUAUUUUACUUUUUUAUGUCUUUUAUAUGUUAAGUAAGGGAUCUUAUUUGUUGAAGAAAGUUGGGAAACAAUUAGGCGUACGCUCAAGCGAUACAGACAGUAAUUAAUAGUAGAUUAAAUAGAGAUUAUCCUUACCUUUUUGCUCCAAUUUCUUUUUGAAUUGCCUGACUACUGUUUCUUCUCUUCACAUUCAGCAUUUUUUGUCUUAUACUUUCACUUAUAUUUCCCAAUGCAUUAUUUAUAGAUAUAGAAUCAACCCUGUGCUUCUUGUUAUGACCCAAUAAGGAAUUUUUAUUCCAAUCCGGAUCUCUUGUCUCUUUUUUCCUAGUUUCAUUUGGACUCGAAUCAAACAUUUCUUUCAGUAUGUUGUUUGACAUUUUAAUCUGAGGUGUGUUUUGUAGUGAAGUUGAAAUCUCAUGGUGUCCUGUUGUUUCGGUUAACUUAUUUUUGUUUGUAUUCAAUGGGUCAUACUUUUUCAUUUUUGCAUUCCUAGGAUUCUGUGAUGUGGUAUGCCUGUUGUUCGUUGUUGUAUUUGACUUUGGCAUCUGUCUUGUAUCGUGGUGGAUUUCUUUUUACACAUAUACAAAAAGGAAAAGAAGGGAAUUAUUAAG